UGAACUUUUCAACGUUUUGCCACAUUUCAGGCUUCAAAAAUAAAGAUAUAAAACAAAUUUUUUUGUCAAGAAUCAACAACAAGUGGGACACAAUCAUGAAGUGGAAUGAAAUCUAUUGGAUAUUUGAUACUUUUUUAAGAAAUAAAAACUGAAAAGUGGGGCAUGCAAUAUUAUUCGACCCCUUUACUUUCAGCAAAAUCACUCCAGAGGGUCAGUGAGGAUCUCUGAAUGAUCCAAUGUUGACUGAUGAUGGUAAAUAGAAUCCACCUGUGUGUAAUCAAGUCUCCGUAUAAAUGCACCUGCUCUGUGAAAGUCUCAGGGUUCUGUUUAAAGUGCAGAGAGCAUCGGUUCCUGGGAGUGUCACCGAAAGUAAUUGAGAAGCACUGCUUUAUACAAAACGCAAGGCGGACGUCGCCGGAGUCAGUCUUUGGGCAGGAGAGAGCCCCUUUAUGUUUUCACCAUACACCUGAGGGUCUGUGAGCUGAAGUCCCAAGAUGAGGCAGCCAUGUUGCAUUCCCACAAAAGUAGACAGCAAAAUACAGUACCUGAAUUUUCGCAGACGCCCUGUCGGUUAACAGUGCUGGGGACGGGCGUUGUUGACACAGGCCACGACCGAUCCGGUAUGGGAUUCUACAGAUUAACGGUCAUAUUUGUUUGGCACAGUUCUACGCCGGAUGCCCUUCCUGAUGCAGCUCUCUGCAUUUAUCCAGACUUGGGUCCGGCCUCCAGAUUGCACUGGCCCGUGCCGAAAUUGGGCUGCACUAACUUAUAGGCUGGCCACAAUAAAAAUAGAAAUAAAAAUUGUGGGACU